GUUAGGAAUAGGGCUUGUGAAUUGCAUGAACUUUGGUUUGAUUAACCUGCACCUUGGACCUGUAGAACUGGAGCCUGCUGAUGUUCUUCCUCUCGAAAGGUGCUGGUUUUGACUUUGCUGAUCACUGCCACAGGAGCAUGGCCAACAAAUAUCCAGGAAUGGCAGCGGAUUAAGGCAGAGCUUCCAAGAACAACAGUGAAUUAAUCAGAUGGGGACAUCCAGCAAGCUUUGCUCUAAGUGUCUAGCUCAGCCCCUUUGUGGUGCUGAAACACGGGAUGUCAUUUAUCUGGUUCUACAAUUAUACUGACAUCAUCACUCCGGUUUCUGGAUGUUUUCCAAGCAUAUAUUAUAUAUUCCUGUGAAUCAGAAGCUUUAUGACAGUGG